CCGUUGCCCAGGGCCACGCGGCUGGCUCACACCCACAGAUCCUCAGGGACUCGUAACCUUCACCUCGGCUUUCCAGGGCUGGGCCAUCCACCACCGACCCCCGCUCCGCCACCUGCCCGCUGGUCCUGCUCUCACUCUGCCCCAGGCACUCACUCUGGAUGGCUCUUCCACACUCCAGCCCAGCACUCACACAGAAGGGGAAG
rnacentral:lncRNA from 1 species